rnacentral:rRNA from 1 species
UGCCUGGCGGCCGUAGCGCGGUGGUCCCACCUGACCCCAUGCCGAACUCAGAAGUGAAACGCCGUAGCGCCGAUGGUAGUGUGGGGCCUCCCCAUGCGAGAGUAGGGAACUGCCAGGCAUU